rnacentral:rRNA from 1 species
CUGGCUCAGAACGAACGCUGGCGGCAGGCUUAACACAUGCAAGUCGAGCGCCUCGCAAGAGGAGCGGCAGACGGGUGAGUAACGCGUGGGAAUCUACCCAUCUCUACGGAACAACUCCGGGAAACUGGAGCUAAUACCGUAUACGUCCUUCGGGAGAAAGAUUUAUCGGAGAUGGAUGAGCCCGCGUUGGAUUAGCUAGUUGGUGGGGUAAUGGCCUACCAAGGCGACGAUCCAUAGCUGGUCUGAGAGGAUGAUCAGCCACAUUGGGACUGAGACACGGCCCAAACUCCUACGGGAGGCAGCAGUGGGGAAUAUUGGACAAUGGGCGAAAGCCUGAUCCAGCCAUGCCGCGUGAGUGAUGAAGGCCCUAGGGUUGUAAAGCUCUUUCAACGG